UACGGGGGGGGCAAGCGUUGUUCGGAAUUACUGGGCGUAAAGGGCUCGUAGGCGGCCAACUAAGUCAGACGUGAAAUCCCUCGGCUUAACCGGGGGAACUGCAUCUGAUACUGGAUGGCUUGAGUUCGGGAGAGGGAUGCGGAAUUCCAGGUGUAGCGGUGAAAUGCGUAGAUAUCUGGAGGAACACCGGUGGCGAAGGCGGCGAUCCUGGACCGACACUGACGCUGAGGAGCGAAAGCCAGGGGGAGCAAAACGGGGAAUUGAGAGUACCCCAGUAA
rnacentral:rRNA from 1 species